UAGCUAUUUAGGUUAGAGUUUGAUCCUGGCUCAGAACGAACGCUGGCGGCAUGCCUAACACAUGCAAGUCGAACGCCUGUAGCAAUACAGGAGUGGCGCACGGGUGAGUAACGCGUGGGAACCUGCCCUGGAGUGUGGGAUAACCCGGCGAAAGCCGGGCUAAUACCGCAUACGGCCUGAGGGCGAAAGAUUUAUCGCUCUAGGAGGGGCCCGCGUCGGAUUAGCUAGUUGGUGAGGUAACGGCUCACCAAGGCGAUGAUCCGUAGCUGGUCUGAGAGGAUGAUCAGCCACACUGGGACUGAGACACGGCCCAGACUCCUACGGGAGGCAGCAGUGGGGAAUAUUGGACAAUGGGGGCAACCCUGAUCCAGCAAUGCCGCGUGAGUGAUGAAGGCCUUAGGGUUGUAAAGCUCUUUUGGCGGGGACGAUGAUGACGGUACCCGCAGAAUAAGCCCCGGCUAACUUCGUGCCAGCAGCCGCGGUAAUGUCGGCCC
rnacentral:rRNA from 1 species